rnacentral:piRNA from 1 species
UGAGACUGCUGACUAGUUACGAAAUUCCAGU